rnacentral:rRNA from 1 species
UAAGACGAACCGUCCAAACGUUAUUCGGAAUUACUGGGCUUAAAGGGUGCGUAGGCGGCGAGGAAAGUAGGGUGUGAAAUCCCUCGGCUUAACCGAGGAACUGCGCUCUAAACUACCUUGCUCGAGGGAGACAGAGGUGAGCGGAACUUAGGGUGGAGCGGUGAAAUGUGUUGAUAUCCUAAGGAACACCGGUGGCGAAGGCGGCUCACUGGGUCUCUUCUGACGCUGAGGCACGAAAGCUAGGGUAGCGAACGGG